rnacentral:rRNA from 1 species
GACGAACGCUGGCGGCGUGCUUAACACAUGCAAGUCGAACGGAAAGGCCCUGCUUUUGUGGGGUGCUCGAGUGGCGAACGGGGGAGUAACACGUGAGUAACCUGUCCCUGACUGUGGGAUAACUUCAGGAAACAGGGGCGCUUACCGGGUAGGAUCUCCUGCUGCAUGGUGGGGGUUGGAAAGAUUCGGCGGUUGGGGAUGGACUCGCGGCUUAUCAGCUUGUUGGGGGGGUAGUGGCAUACCAAGGCUUUGAGGGGUAGCCGGCCUGGGAGGGUGACCGGCCACAUUACGACUGAGAUACGGCCCAGACUCGAACCGGACGCAGCGGGGGAGAGUAUUACACAAUAGGCGGGAGCCAGAUGCGACAACGCCGCGUGCGGGAUGACGGCCUUCGGGUUGUGAACCGAUUUCGCCUGAGACGAGGAGUGAGUGACGGUAAUGGGUAAAGAAGCACCGGCUAACUACGUG